GUGAGUCAUCGAAUCUUUGAACGCAUAUUGCGCUCUCCGGCAUUCCGGAGAGCAUGCCUGUUUGAGUAUUGGCCUAAAUGAGAGUCUUCCUUUAAAGAUAUAAAAAAGAACGUUAAGACCCCUCAGUUGAGACUUCUCGUCAAUUCUUUGCUGAGUGUUUUAAAAUGAAAUAGUACUGCCACGUUUGCGAACUUGGAGUAAUAUGUGAGCCUGAAAAGGUGACUUAUAUUCUCCUCGGACCACGUAGACCUGUUAAGCGGGAAGUUUUUGAAUGCCGAAUUAUGGGAGAUGGUGUUCAAU
rnacentral:misc_RNA from 1 species